UACGGAGGGUGCAAGCGUUAUCCGGAUUCACUGGGUUUAAAGGGAGCGUAGGAGGGCAGGUAAGUCAGUGGUGAAAUCUUCGAGCUUAACUCGGAAACUGCCGUUGAUACUAUCUGUCUUGAAUACCGUGGAGAUGAGCGGAAUAUGUCAUGUAGCGGUGAAAUGCUUAGAUAUGACAUAGAACACCAAUUGCGAAAGGCAGCU
rnacentral:rRNA from 1 species